UCCUCCAAUGCUUUGGAUGCCUUCAACACGUGUAGAAACUGCUCGUUUCUUGCUUUGGUGUUUUCCAGCCAAAACCUGGUCAUCGAUGGUUUUAGCCAUCUCCCUAAGUUGUUGUCUCUUCUCUACUGAGAUGACAUCACAACUUAAGAUUUCAUGACCAGCUUCCCCUGUGAGAUGUCCCCUCACACGAUCCACACCUGAAACUUUGUCUCUCAACGAACACCACUUGCAAGACCAGCAUCGAUGCCCACUACGGCAGUUUGUUUGAUCACCAAGGAUCACUUCUUCCCACCAAACGGAUGAUGGAUGUCGCCCUGUUGAAGUCCUCCUGCUCUUGCUCCCAAAUGCCAUCACUCAGCUCAACCUCUAAAAUCCUGCACCUGCUUCUACUCCAAUCCACAAUCACUCAGUCCAACCUCUAAAAUCCCACACCCUGCUGCUGCUCCAAUCCACAAUUGCUCAGCCUCUAAA
rnacentral:lncRNA from 1 species